rnacentral:rRNA from 1 species
GGGAUUGCCUCAGUAACGGCGAGUGAAGCGGCAACAGCUCAAAUUUGAAAUCUGGCUCCUCUCGGGGUCCGAGUUGUAAUUUGUAGAGAGCGUUUCGGGGGAGACCGCGGUCUAAGUCCAUUGGAACAUGGCGUCAUAGAGGGUGAGAAUCCCGUCUGUGACCGUGGAUUGAGCCCAUGUGAAGCCUCUUCGACGAGUCGAGUUGUUUGGGAAUGCAGCUCAAAAUGGGUGGUAAAUUUCAUCUAAAGCUAAAUACUGGCUGGAGACCGAUAGCGCACAAGUAGAGUGAUCGAAAGAUGAAAAGCACUUUGGAAAGAGAGUUAAACAGNACGUGAAAUUGUUGAAAGGGAAGCGCUUGCGACCAGACCUGCCCGUGGGCGAUCAGCCGCUGUUCUCAGCGGUGCACUCGUUCCACGAUCAGGCCAGCAUCGGUUUCGGCGGUCGGAUAAAGGCCUUGGGAAUGUAGCUUCCCUUCGGGGGAGUCUUAUAGCCCUCGGUGCAAUGCGGCCAGCCGGGACCGAGGACCGCGCUUCGGCUAGGAUGCUGGCGUAAUGGUCGUAAGCGACCCGUCUUGAAACACGGACCAAGGAGUCUAACAUCUAUGCGAGUGUUUGGGUGUUAAACCCAUACGCGGAAUGAAAGUGAACGGAGGUGAGAACCCUUAAGGGCGCAUCAUCGACCGAUCCAGAUGUCUUCGGAUGGAUUUGAGUAUGAGCAUAGCUGUUGGGACCCGGUAUGUCUUUGACUCCUGCACCCCUUCUAUUGUAUGACAUUUGCUAACAGUUUGAUUUUAGAAAGAUGGUGAACUAUGCCUGAAUAGGGUGAAGCCAGAGGAAACUCUGGUGGAGGCUCGCAGCGGUUCUGACGUGCAAAUCGAUCGUCAAAUUUGGGUAUAGGGGUCAGUUUCGAACUUCUAGCACCAUUCAAUAACGUAGUACUAACUUUUUUCUAGGCGAAAGACUAAUC